GAUGAACGCUGGCGGCGUGCCUAAUACAUGCAAGUCGAGCGAACAGAUGAGGAGCUUGCUCCUCUGACGUUAGCGGCGGACGGGUGAGUAACACGUGGAUAACCUACCUAUAAGACUGGGAUAACUUCGGGAAACCGGAGCUAAUACCGGAUAAUAUAUUGAACCGCAUGGUUCAAUAGUGAAAGACGGUUUUGCUGUCACUUAUAGAUGGAUCCGCGCCGCAUUAGCUAGUUGGUAAGGUAACGGCUUACCAAGGCAACGAUGCGUAGCCGACCUGAGAGGGUGAUCGGCCACACUGGAACUGAGACACGGUCCAGACUCCUACGGGAGGCAGCAGUAGGGAAUCUUCCGCAAUGGGCGAAAGCCUGACGGAGCAACGCCGCGUGAGUGAUGAAGGUCUUCGGAUCGUAAAACUCUGUUAUUAGAGAAGAACAAAUGUGUAAGUAACUAUGCACGUCUUGACGGUACCUAAUCAGAAAGCCACGGCUAACUACGUG
rnacentral:rRNA from 1 species